AGCCGCAGCCAUGGUUAGUUGUUUGUAUAAUAAUACUCUGCCGUUUUGCACCCCUGGUUAGCGCUACAACUCCUCCGCCGCGCCUAUCCACCACAUCUAUUUCGCCCUAUCCACCAGGACUUACGAUGAUCUGUAUAGCGAGCUAUCGAGGCUGCUCAGGGACUCGAGCAGGCCUGCAUAUACGAUCCCCCAGUCCCCCACACGUGAUGCAAAGAUAAUACAUCCAUGUCGUCGGCGCCGGGGAAGAAGACAAGGUAACUCUGAACAUCGAUGGCCUUAUAUAUUAUCGGCUUCAGUAACGGCACUGGCCAUUGGUACAAGUUUAGUGGCGGAGACUCGUUCUGGUUCAAAGGUCUGCCGGUGCCGGGAGCCACCGAGCUCCCCGGUCACAAUGAACUAUGGACAACUGAUCCAGGGAGGGCACGCCGAUCGAGCUUUGGCGGGUUCCUCUGGGGAAGAAGUCAGCCAUACAUGCCACCAGGCAGCUUGCGACGUACGACCCCGCCGUCACCCCUGAAUCCCAGCUCCAGGACGAAAAUGGGGUGCUACUGGAGGUCAGUACCGGUGGAUGGCUGACGCGAAGUCGAGGAUAAUAUAGUCAGGUCAAAGGUGCCAACGAUGCUUCGGCGAUCGUUGGUUUUCUGCUUCGCUCAAAAGAAACAGUACCUACUGAUAAUUAGUUAGUUUCCACACAUAUGAUUAAUAUAGUUUUCUUUCUUUUUUGCAUCAUCGAUGCCUGAAUCGACUUGUUAUGCAAAAAAAAAAAAAUGUAAUCAGGGGGUAUCCAAAUCCAAACAAAAGAAGAAGAAAGAAACAUAUAGUGUGUAGGUGCUUUCAGCUUCAAGUCCAGUAUAUGUCGUUAACUCUGAAGAUCUUCAGAUUUAGACUGAAAGAGAGAUAUAGAGACAGUGUCAGAGGCACCCUGCUGAGUAGUCAUCUCAGUAUGCUACUGCUAGCGCUACCUUGUAUCAGACGUAGUCGUGGUAGGCAGAGGCAGAGGCAGAGGCAGUCAUCUCUCGUAAUAUAUCUGACAGUUUUUUCAAAAGAAAAUCGUUAGACAAAGUUUUCAGAAAUGGAAGAAGCGUUCCACAGUUGAAUUAACUAAAUUUAGCUGCCUAUGAGGAUUGAUUGAGCUUGGGAUUAAUAUUAUAUACUAGCAAACAGAUACGCUUAUAUCUUUUUUUGUGUGUAUGUGUGAAUAUAUACAUUUCCUUCUCUUUAAAACGGUUAUUUUUAGUUUGCGAUGCAUACGAACAGGGGGAUCUCCCUUAAACUGAAAGAAAAGGAAGAAAUGAAUUGGAGAGUAUAUAUACCACCAAUAUAUGCAUCAGAAUUGUAGACUUUUAUAGUGUGUUUGGUUUAAGGAAUGAAGUGAUCCAUCUUCUUCUCACUCCUCACUUUUUUUAUUUGGUUUGUGGAAUAGAAUGAGUUGAUCUAUCACCACCACAUUCCUCAUAAGCUAAUAAUUAGUAUAUACAUGAGGAGUAGGUUGAUUCCACCAAAAUUGAUGGAAUAAACUUAUGAUGCAUCACCUCAUGAGGCAUAGAGUGACUCCACAAACCAAACACACCAUUAGUCGAUGACUUGUAGUAUUUUAAUAGUUCAAAUCCCUAGAGAACCGUAGUUGGGAUAGUUAUCAUGGAAUCAGCUCUUUUUUUUCUCACCGCCUGAAAUACAUUGCAUCUCCCACCAUUAUUAUGUCAAGUCCCGUGAGCUUAUUUGCUGGUAGCGCGGAAGUUUCUAUUUAAUUUAUAGAGUGAACCAAGAGCAUGCAUGCAUGUUUCCUUAGGCAACAAUUAAGACGUACUCCGUAUAAUGUAGUAUGUUUGCAUGCUCCUUUCUAAACCUUCCACUGACAUGUCCAUUAGAAUUGAAGUAGAAUUUGUGGUAGUGUGUUAACCUGGGCACAAUAACAUCUCUGACUUUUCAAUUCAAUGUAGCUAGGAAUAUCUCUGCUAUUUUAUAAGAGUCCAAUACACCGUGACUCUGACUUCCCCCUGCGCAUAGGACCCAUCGUGCGCUCCCACCCCCGUCGUGCGUCCGCACUCCACCGCGCUCUCUCGACUCCCAGGCAGCGAAUCCCAUGGCCCCCGCUAAUUAGCACGCGACCGUGGCAAAAAUCAAAAUAUUUGUAGCCUUGAGAGAUCAAAUACUGGUUGUUAAUACCAAGCUCACACCUUCCAACCAAUACAGCUCAAGUACUUCUAUAAAAUAUGUAGUAGUUGUUUUGUAUUUGUAUGUAUAUACAUGCCCUCGCCACUAUAAAUCAUUUUUAUCCUUAAUUUUUCAAAAUUUUCAAACGAUUUUUUAUGAUGAAAUCAUCAAAAUAAAAGUUAUAAAUUUCUAAAAGUUAUGAAACUUUGUAGUUGACAACUUUUUUAUAUAAACUCAUUUCGAUUCUCAAAAAUUGAAUCUAAGUAUGUCAAAUUUAAAAUUUAAAAUUUGCAAACUACCUCAGAUGAAAAAGUGUCAGAAUAAAAGUUGUAGAACUUCAAAAGUUAUUCAAUUUUGUAGUUGACAACUUUUUUACUUAAAUUCGUUUACGGUCUCAAACAAGCAAUUUAGACUCAGUUGGUUGUAAUAUGUAAUGUGGAUAAAAAAAACUACAAAUUAGACAUAAAGUAUGCCAUAGACAGAGUGUUAGCGGAUGGUACGCGCAAAUGUGACGCGUAGCACGUGAAAAAAUGUGAUAGCUUGCGAAUUCGACGGAGAUAGGUGGGCUGAGUCCACUUCCAGUCUUCCUAAAUAAUUUUUUUCUAUUUCUAUUUUUAAAACCCAUUUAAUAUUUCUGAAAAUAAUUUUUACUAGCGUUAUAUUACGUCGAUUGCUAUUGGAAAUCGUUUUUCACUGGCAUUCAUCAGUUAUCCGCCUGUAAAAAUGAUGAUCUUUACUGGUUUAUAGCACCGACGGUUCUAAAAAAACGCUAGUGAAAAUAUGUUCACAACAGUCACUAUAGAGUUUCUUUGUGCUAGUGUGAUUUUUAAACUCUCGUAACAACGUACGAGUACAUACCUACUGUAUAAUUAUACAGUAAUAAUGGAUGAUGUAAUAUAUAUUAGAAGCAGUACAUGUGCAUAUGGAUCUAUCAAUUAAUCUCUAUAAUAUAUCAGCGAGUGCUGAUUUGAGUUGCAGGUUGUUGUUGAGGUCUAGGAUGUGCGCCUCCAGCCGCCGGGCCUCC
rnacentral:lncRNA from 1 species